CCUAAGAGAUACGUGUUAUGUGCAGUGCUCACACAGAUUGUCUGAUGAAGAACGAGCAAAAGCGCGUCUGCGAAGCUGACUGAAGUCCCCUUCGUCUAGAGGCCUAGGACGCCGCCCUUUCACGGCGGUAACAGGGGUUCGAAUCCCCUAGGGGACGCCAAUUGCGCGGUAUGAGUGAAAGGCGUACCACACUAUAGUCUGAUGCAAGUCAGAGAAUAGUUAAGAUAAUUCGUAUGAGUUAUUUUACCUAUUACGCUCUUUAACAAUCUGGAACAAGCUGAAAAAUUGAAAACAAAUCAAUAUAUCACCGAGGUAUAUUGAUGAGUCUCUCAAAAUCUCAAACUUUGAAUGUGUUUUUCGACAUCGAAGUGGGAUGAGCGAGCAAUUUACAGUUCGAGGCGGCCAGCGCACAGCCAGCGCAACAUACAUAAAUAUGUGAGCAUGGCGAGCACUGCCCAACGACGAAAUGUAAUCUGCGCAGCCAUCACCACCCAGACGUCUUCAAGAAAAGACAUCUUCGGGUUGUGA
rnacentral:misc_RNA from 1 species